rnacentral:rRNA from 1 species
UACGUAGGGGGCAAGCGUUGUCCGGAUUUAUUGGGCGUAAAGCGCUCGCAGGUGGUUCGUUGCGUCGUGCGUGAAAGACCCCGGCUCAACUGGGGAGCGUCGUGCGAUACGGGCGGACUGGAGGCCAGUAGGGGGAUGCGGAAUUCCGGGUGUAGUGGUGGAAUGCGUAGAGAUCCGGAGGAACACCAGCGGCGAAGGCGGCAUCCUGGACUGGUCCUGACACUCAUGAGCGAAAGCGGUGGGGAGCAAACAGGG